UAAAAAAGUGACAAAAAUUUUAAUUUUUCAGGAAAUAACUUUUUUAAUUAAAAACCGUACCCUAAACCGACACAGGUGGAUAGGUCGAGUAGACUAAGGUGAAUGAGAGAACUAUAUUGAAGGAACUCGGCAAAAUGACUUUGUAACUUCGGGAUAAAAAGUACCUAAUUAUUUUUAAAAUAAUGAGGUGUCACAAAAUAGGGGGUUGCGACUGUUUAAUAAAAACUUAGGACUCUGCUAAAUGGUAACAUGAUGUAUAGGGUCUGACACCUGCCCGGUGCUGGAAGAUUAAAAGGAGAUGUUUGCGCAUUAAAUGGAAGUCCCAGUAAACGGCGGCCGUAACUCUGACGGUCCUAAGGUAGCGAAAUUCCUUGUCGGGUAAGUUCCGACCUGCAUGAAUGGUGUAACGACAUCCCCGCUGUCUCCAACAUAAACUCAGUGAAUUUGAAUUAUCCGUGAAGAUGCGGAUUUUCUAUAGUUAGACGGAAAGACCCCGUGAACCUUUACUACAUCUUUAUAUUGUUAUUUUAUCUAAUAUGUGUAGUAUAAGUGGUAAUCGUUUAGACCUUUACGCUAGUAAAUUGUUUAGAUAUUCUUGAAAUACCACUCUUAUUAUAAUAAAUAACUAAUAUUUUUUUUAAAUAGACAUUGUAUGGUUGGUAGUUUGACUGGGGCGGUCACCUCCUAAAGAGUAACGGAGGUGUACAAAGGUAAGCUCAAAUUGGAUAAUAGUAUCAAUUGUAGAGCAUAAUGGUAAAAGCUUGCUUGACUGUAAGAUAGACAUAUCAAACAGGGACGAAAGUCGGUCAUAGUGAUCCGAUAAUUCUUUGUGGAAAGAUUAUCGCUCAACGGAUAAAAGGUACUCCGGGGAUAACAGGCUGAUGACUCCUAAGAGCUCCUAUCGACGGAGUCGUUUGGCACCUCGAUGUCGACUCAUCACAUCCUGGAGCUGAAGAAGGUUCCAAGGGUUCGGCUGUUCGCCGAUUAAAGUGGUACGUGAGUUGGGUUUAGAACGUCGU
rnacentral:rRNA from 1 species